rnacentral:tRNA from 1 species
UGGCGAAGUAAUCCAACGGCAGAGAUAGUGGUCUUAGAAGCCAUCCAGUGUGAGUUCGAAUCUCACCUUCGCUAU